rnacentral:tRNA from 1 species
GGUUGCGUGGUCUAGUUGGUUAUGGCAUCUCGUUAACACCGAGAAGGUCCCCGGUUCAAUCCCGGGCGGAAUCA